rnacentral:tRNA from 1 species
UCCCCGGUGGUCCAAUGGUGAAGACGCCAUGCUUCCAACAUGGGGGUGCGUAGGUUCAAUCCCUGGUUGGGGAC